UCGGGAAUUUUGGGCAAUGGGGGAAACCCCGACCCAGCAAUGCCGCGUGAGUGAUGAAGGCCUUAGGGUUGUAAAGCUCUUUUACCAGGGAUGAUAAUGACAGUACCUGGAGAAUAAGCUCCGGCUAACUCCGUGCCAGCAGCCGCGGUAAUACGGAGGGAGCUAGCGUUGUUCGGAAUUACUGGGCGUAAAGCGUACGUAGGCGGUGACUCAAGUCAGAGGUGAAAGCCUGGAGCUCAACUCCAGAACUGCCUUUGAAACUAGGUCGCUAGAAUCACGGAGAGGUGAGUGGAAUUCCGAGUGUAGAGGUGAAAUUCGUAGAUAUUCGGAAGAACACCAGUGGCGAAGGCGGCUCACUGGACGUGUAUUGACGCUGAGGUACGAAAGCGUGGGGAGCAAACAGGAUUAGAUACCCCCGUAGUCCCUGAGCGGGCUGGCAAGGCGCAU
rnacentral:rRNA from 1 species